rnacentral:lncRNA from 1 species
AGUCGUCACUCUGCCCUUGCGCGCCGCCUCCGCCUCCGCCGACGCCGAUCCCCAUCUAUCCCGCGAGCGAGCACGCCGCCGUCGUUCGUCCUGCCGCAUCCUGGGCUUGGGUCGGCGGUGGUGACCCAGAGGCGAGGCGGAGGCUCGGAGGCGGCGUGCAUCGGAGGCGAGGUCCACGACCAAGCGGUGGCGGCGUCUUGCUGCGUCCCCGCCCUCGGUGGCACGGUGCGGAGGUGCUGGCGUCCUGAGAAGAGAGUAUAUGACCUCAUUUUUGAAACAGACUUCCUGAUGGCAUUUGAUGUCAACAGUGAACCAGUUGACAUGAAUAAUACUUCCAGCAAAGCGAAUCUGGAAAAUAGUGAACCUUUUGUUGGGAUGGAGUUUGAAUCAGAAGAGGCUGCAAAGGUGUUCUACAUGGCUUAUGCUAGUCGAGUAGGUUUCUCUGUGCGCAUUAGCAAGUCCCGACGCUCAAGGAAUGAUGAGUCUAUUAUCAUGCGCCGUUUUGUGUGUUCAAAGGAAGGUUUCCACCACAAGAAGCAAACUGACACUGGCAAGAGAAAGAGAAAGCGUGCAAUAAUAAGGGAGGGUUGCCAUGCGAUGAUCGAGGUUAGUCAGAAAUAUUAUGGGCGGUGGGUUGUGAUCAAGCUCAUCAAGGAACACAAUCAUGCUGUUGCAGCUCCAAGCAUAGUGAGAUACGUUGCGCCUGAAGAAUAUGCACAACUAGAACCUUUUGCAGGAAUGGAAUUCCCUUCUUAUGAAUCUGCCCAAACAUUCUACUAUGCGUAUGCUAGCCGUAUGGGCUUUGAUGUACGUAUCAGAUUAUCCCGCCGUUCACCAAAGGAUGAGACAUUUGUAAUGCGGCGCUUUGUUUGCACAAGGGAGGGGGCUACACCGUGCGAAGAAAAUGAGAACAGGAGAAAGAGAAACCGGGGUGUUCCAAGGGAAGGUUGCCAAGCGAUGUUUGAGAUAGUGAAGAAGGAUCAAGAUAAAUGGGUUGUUUCGAAGCUUUUCUUGGCACAUACACAUGAGCUGGCCAAUGUACCAAACAAGGUGCACUACAUUCAGUCAAACAGUGAGGUAGUUGUUCUUGCAAAAAGUAGUGUUCUUCGAGAGAAUUCAAUUGCUCCAACCUUGAAUUCACCUCUAGCAGACCUAGGGAGGAAUUUUGAAAAGCAGGCGACAAAUGAUCAAGAAAUAAGAGAACCACGCCGUAAUGCAUUUGGGUUGGAUGAUACGCAAAAGCUUCUUGGAUACUUCAAGCGGCUGAAUGCCGAGAAUCCCACAUUUUCAUAUGCAUUUCAAGUCGAGAAAAAUGAUUGCUUAACCCAUGCCUUCUGGGCUGAUGCCAAAGCAAGAACAUCGUAUUACUAUUUUGGAGAUGCCGUAACACUCGAGACAUCUUUUGUUGAGAAUAAUGACCUUUUGCCAUUAGUUAUGUUUUCUGGUGUCAAUCAUCACUUGCAACGUGAAAUGUUUGGUUGUGCAUUAUUAACUGAUUUCACAGAGGCUUCCUACAUUUGGCUCUUUCAGAACUGGAUUGCAGCAAUGGGUUCACACCAUCCUACGUCACUAACAACGGUUUAUAAUGAAGCAAUUGGUUCAGCAAUAGCAAAAAUAUUUCCACAAACGCACCAUCUGUAUUUUACUGCAGACAUAUUAAAGAGAUCCAAGGACAUUUUGGCUGACAUAUAUUUUAGGCAUGUUUCUUUUGAAAGAGAAUUUUAUGUGUGCAUCAAUGAGCCUGAAACAAUUGAAAUGUUUGAGUUAAGUUGGAAGAAAGUCCUUGAUAAGUAUGACUUGCAUGACAACUCAUGGCUCCAGUCUCUGUACAGAAUUCGGCAAAAAUGGGUUCCUGUAUAUUUCAAAGGUGUAUUUACUGCUGAUCUUUCAGCAUCUCAGAGACCUGAAAGCUUGAGAAACAUCUUUGAGAAGUACUUCAACAGAAGAACAGCUUUACCAGUUUUCAUUUCAUUGUUUGAGCAUCUGAUGGCCGGUUGGUCAGAAAGAGAAGCUGUGGAGGAUCUGGCCACAUCUUUUACCAGACCUGUCCUAAGAACCCCCUCAAACAUGAUGAAACAAGUGUCAGAAAUAUACACAACAACUGUGUUCAACAUUCUUGAGGAAGAAUUCAUUGGAUCUUUAGGCUAUUAUAUCUCUAGUCUUGACAAUGAUGGGUUGAUUGCUGUGUAUAGUAUGUAA